rnacentral:miRNA from 1 species
CCUUGAUUUUAUUAUAUUGUUG